GCCUAAAGGAUCCCAAGAUGGAAACUAUUUUUGUUCACUUAAUGAUAUAUUUGGUGUUGUGCAAGAAUGGAGUGGAAGGAGAUGGAAGGCUUUCUAGAAAACAUGAAGAUAAAGACCUGGAUUUGGAGAUGCAACUCAAGCUUCUUAACAAGCCAGCAGUGAAGUCCAUCAAGGUAUACUAAAUAUGGAGAUAUUUAUGAUUGUGUGGAUAUCAAGAAGCAACCAGCAUUUGAUCACCCCUUACUCAGAAAUCAUACCAUUCAG